rnacentral:rRNA from 1 species
UACGUAGGGAGCAAGCGUUGUCCGGAAUCAUUGGGCGUAAAGCGCGCGUAGGUGGCCUCAUAAGUCCGCUGUGAAAGUCAAAGGCUCAACCUUUGAAAGCCGAUGGAUACUGUGGGGCUAGAGUACGGAAGAGGCGAGUGGAAUUCCUGGUGUAGCGGUGGAAUGCGCAGAUAUCAGGAGGAACACCAAUAGCGAAGGCAGCUCGCUGGGACGUUACUGACACUGAGGCGCGAAAGCGUGGGGAGCGAACAGG